ACUGUAAAUUUUUGCCUCGGUUUCCAGCAAAAAAAAUUGCUGGAAACGUUCAGCAAUCCAAAUUUUUGCUGGAAACCAGCAAUCGAUUUUCUUAUUGCUGGAUUUUUCAGCAUUCGGUUGUGUUCUUGUCAUUUUUGCUGGAAAAUCAGCAAUCGGUUUUCAAAUUGCUGGACUUUCCAGCAAUCGGUCUAGUUUGCUGGAAAAUCAGCAAUCGAGUUGUCAAAUUGGAGUCUGUUUGUUUUCGUACGCUGAAGCAAGCAACCAGACAUCAAGUCAAGGGUGGCGGAUGAUUAUCACAUUGGCACAAAGCUGCCACCCCGGAGGCGGUAUUAGUAUAUUGACAAAACAUAUGUCUCUGCUAAUUCAUUUAAUUCAUAAUAAAAAAAUGGAAGAAAAAUAUGUUGUUUAUUACUUAUCAUGUGCACAGCCAGUUUCAAUAUUUAAAUUUGAUUUGAAAAAUAAAUUUGAUACCAAAUACAGCCGAAUGCUUUGAUUGAAAUAGCUAGUUUCCAGCAAUCUGGAUUGCUGAUUUCCAGCAAUUUGAAUUGCUGGAAACCAGCAUUGAUGUUUGCUGAUUUUUCCAGCAAUCGAUAUUG